rnacentral:rRNA from 1 species
UGGGGAAUUUUGGACAAUGGGCGAAAGCCUGAUCCAGCAAUGCCGCGUGUGUGAAGAAGGCCUUCGGGUUGUAAAGCACUUUUGUCCGGAAAGAAAUCCUCUGGGUUAAUACCUCGGGGGGAUGACGGUACCGGAAGAAUAAGCACCGGCUAACUACGUGCCAGCAGCCGCGGUAAUACGUAGGGUGCAAGCGUUAAUCGGAAUUACUGGGCGUAAAGCGUGCGCAGGCGGUUUUGUAAGAAGGAUGUGAAAUCCCCGGGCUUAACCUGGGAACUGCAUUCGUGACUGCAAGGCUAGAGUAUGGCAGAGGGGGGUAGAAUUCCACGUGUAGCAGUGAAAUGCGUAGAGAUGUGGAGGAAUACCGAUGGCGAAGGCAGCCCCCUGGGCCAAUACUGACGCUCAUGCACGAAAGCGUGGGGAGCAAACAGGAUUAGAUACCCUGGUAGUCCACGCCCUAAAACGAUGUCAACUAGUUGUUGGGGAUUCAUUUCCUUAGUAACGUAGCUAACGCGUGAAGUUGACCGCCUGGGGAGUACGGUCGCAAGAUUAAAACUUAAAUGAAUUGACGGGGUCAUAGCUGUUUCCU